rnacentral:rRNA from 1 species
GUUUUUUUUCCACAAAGCAACCCUUGCAGUAGAUAAAACCCCGAAAUCGUUGCACUUUCAAAUUCGGAAAGGCGAAGUACUUGGAUGAAUUCAAAAAAGAAUUCAUUAACAAGAAUUGAAGUGUU